CGCCACAGCCAUGUCACCCUGCAGCCCAAGACCGGUUACUCACUGAAGCUAAGCAGGGCUGAGCCUAGUCAAUACUUGGAUAGGAGACCACAUGGGAAAACUAGGUUGCUGUUGCAA
ensembl:rRNA 5S_rRNA 5S ribosomal RNA